rnacentral:rRNA from 1 species
UACAGAGGUCCCAAGCGUUGUUCGGAUUCACUGGGCGUAAAGGGUGCGUAGGCGGUCGGGUAAGUCUGAUGUGAAAUCUCAGAGCUCAACUCUGAAACUGCAUUGGAUACUAUCCGGCUUGAGGUCUGGAGGGGGGACUGGAAUUCUUGGUGUAGCAGUGAAAUGCGUAGAUAUCAAGAGGAACACCAGUGGCGAAGGCGAGUCCCUGGACAGAUCCUGACGCUGAGGCACGAAAGCCAGGGGAGCAAACGGG